rfam:Bacillus sp. 1NLA3E, complete genome.
CGGUGAGGCUUCCUGUCCGAUAUCUACGGAGGUACUCGAUUAUGCUGUGGGAUACAGGGAUUGUUAUCCUUAGACGCGAAUGUCGUCACUAGCAUGGUGUGAGGAUGGGUUUGAUGCCCA